rnacentral:rRNA from 1 species
AGUGGGGAAUAUUGCACAAUGGAGGAAACUCUGAUGCAGCAACGCCGCGUGGAGGAUGACGCAUUUCGGUGUGUAAACUCCUUUUAUAUAGGAAGAUAAUGACGGUACUAUAUGAAUAAGCACCGGCUAACUCCGUGCCAGCAGCCGCGGUAAUACGGAGGGUGCAAGCGUUACUCGGAAUCACUGGGCGUAAAGCGCAUGCAGGCGGUUUAUUAAGUUGGAAGUGAAAUCCUAUGGCUCAACCAUAGAACUGCUUCCAAAACUGAUAAACUAGAGUCUGGGAGGGGAAGAUGGAAUUAGUAGUGUAGGGGUAAAAUCCGUAGAGAUUACUAGGAAUACCAAAAGCGAAGGCGAUCUUCUGGAACAGUACUGACGCUGAGAUGCGAAAGCGUGGGGAGCAAACAGGAUUAGAUACCCUGGUAGUCCACGCAGUAAACGAUGAAUGUUAGUCGUUGGGACUCUAGUAGUUUCAGUGAUGCAGUUAACACAUUAAACAUUCCGCCUGGGGAGUACGGUCGCAAGAUUAAAACUCAAAGGAAUAGACGGGGACCCGCACAAGUGGUGGAGCAUGUGGUUUAAUUCGAAGAUACGCGAAGAACCUUACCUAGCCUUGACAUACUACAGAAUUUGACAGAGAUGUUGAAGUGCCUUCGGGAGCUGUAAUACAGGUGCUGCACGGCUGUCGUCAGCUCGUGUCGUGAGAUGUUGGGUUAAGUCCCACAACGAGCGCAACCCUCGUCCUUAGUUACUAACGGUUCGGCCGAGGACUCUAAGGAGACUGCCUUCGUAAGGAGGAGGAAGGUGAGGACGACGUCAAGUCAUCAUGGCCCUUACGGCUAGGGCAACACACGUGCUACAAUGGUUAGGACAAUGAGAAGCGAUACCGCGAGGUGGAGCAAAUCUAUAAACCUAAUCUCAGUUCGGAUAGCAGUCUGCAACUCGACUGCUUGAAGCUGGAAUCACUAGUAAUCGUAAAUCAGCUAUGUUACGGUGAAUACGU